GAUGAACGCUGGCGGCGUGCCUAAUACAUGCAAGUCGAGCGAUCAGACGAGGAGCUUGCUCCUCUGACGUUAGCGGCGGACGGGUGAGUAACACGUGGAUAACCUACCUAUAAGACUGGGAUAACUUCGGGAAACCGGAGCUAAUACCGGAUAAUAUAUUGAACCGCAUGGUUCAAUAGUGAAAGACGGUUUUGCUGUCACUUAUAGAUGGAUCCGCGCCGCAUUAGCUAGUUGGUAAGGUAACGGCUUACCAAGGCAACGAUGCGUAGCCGACCUGAGAGGGUGAUCGGCCACACUGGAACUGAGACACGGUCCAGACUCCUACGGGAGGCAGCAGUAGGGAAUCUUCCGCAAUGGGCGAAAGCUUGACGGAGCAACGCCGCGUGAGUGAUGAAGGUCUUCGGAUCGUAAAACUCUGUUAUUAGGGAAGAACAAAUGUGUAAGUAACUAUGCACGUCUUGACGGUACCUAAUCAGAAAGCCACGGCUAACUACGUG
rnacentral:rRNA from 1 species